GGACGGUAGCUCAGUAGUUGAAUGUUUGCCUAGCAUGCAUAAGGUCCAUGGUUCAAUCCUUACCUCCA
rnacentral:tRNA from 1 species